rnacentral:lncRNA from 1 species
CAGAGACUUUCUGAUAGCUGAUGCCAGGAACAGCAAAAAGCAGAAUGUCCAGUUAGGGAUAGUUAACCAAGCCCCUCUCAAUUCUUCUUCUUGAGGCUAUCCUCUCCUCACUGGUCCCCAUUUUAUAAUCAUGCUCAAGGAGCCUAGGCUUCUCUUCUUCUCUUACAGCAUGUUUAAUAUCACUACUUUAUCCAUUCUGUACUG